GCAGGGCGGCGCGGCCAGGCGCGCCCUGGGCUCCGGUGACCGCGGCUGUGCUCUGGGCGUCUUUCUGUUCUGGGGUCCCCGUGUGGUCUCCUCAGCUGUCUCACACACUUAGACCCGUUUUCCAGUUGAGCGUCUCCCCAAGGAGCAGAGUUUGAGGCGCGGGUGCAGGGGUGCUGCGUGAGGGUACUUUCUGGAUGCGAGAGGACGAGAAAACAACACUGAUCUGAAAGGUGCGAGCGCCGCAGCUGUAACUAAUCACCCCGCCCCCACCGGGUCCGGCGCGGGGAUCCCCGCACUGGGGCCUAGCACGGAGGGAAAUGAGUCUGGGGUAACCGCUGGGUGAAUUUUGCUUGGACAGGUGUGGGUACUUUCUAGUAAUUGGAAAGCAACAUCGUCCGAGACUCAAAAAGAGGUGUAAAGAUAAGAACCAUCUUUUGCCUGCUCUAGGACCUUCAAACCACCGCCACCACCUCACGCGUGCCCGACCGCGCUCCCGGUAGCGAGCUCAAAUCAGCCCGAACCCCUCGGGCAGGUGAGGGGUGCCGGCGACGCAGGAAAGGUGGACACCACAUUCUCAAGGCUCUGCAGUGAGUCAGACACGCGAGUCCUGACUCCAUGCCGAGUCCUGGACUCACAAGACAGCUCCUCACUGUUGCAAUUGCAAAGCGUUGGCAUCAGAACUGCUGAACAGUCAAACGAGUAGUCAUAGAUUUGGGGGGAGGGGCCGGGGGCGGAUACACUGCGCCUUGGGUUUACAUCUUCCCACGUCUUCAAGGGAAGCUUUGAGGCUUUUUAUGCUCAUCUUUGCCAUUGGUCAGCUGGAUUCAGAGUCAUCCUGUGGGUGCUGGAAUAUCUAGAAGUUUUGUCUGCUUCCCAGACAAAAAUAAAACAUCAAAGGCAUUUUAGUGAUAAUCCUCGGAGAACUAAACCG
rnacentral:lncRNA from 1 species